GGAGUGUAGUUCAGUGGUAGGGUAUGUGCUUCCUAUGUAUAAGGCCCUAUGUUCAAUCCCCAGCACCA
rnacentral:tRNA from 1 species